rnacentral:misc_RNA from 1 species
UUAACAUAUAAAACUUCGAUUUCGAAAACAAAUUCAUUUGUUCCGUCUUCUUCUUAAAGUUCCCCAAAUAACAGUGUUGAACAAUGUAAUUCUGUAAGAGUAGAUAGGAUAGGAAGUAGGCUUAUGAUGGUACGGAGUUCCGUUUCCUAAUACCUCUCGAUUAUAAUGUCACGUGACCACGUCAGCUUGCGUCCAACAUAUCUCCUCUGACUGGACCAGCCAUUUCGUUUGCUGAAAAAGUAAAGAGAACAUCUAAUCAGGAUGUUGUACUAUGUAGUCAUAGUAGGGUGUGCUAUCCUGUCUCUUUAUUGUGGUGAUGCAGUUCAGGUAACAGACGGUUGCGGUCCUGGCUGGGUCUACCUAAACUCUACUUGUUAUUAUGUGUCCCUGGUGUCUGCAAACUGGUCAACAGCUCACACGUAUUGCAGUGAAAACGGAGGUACCCUGCUGUCUUCAAAAUCCGAGGAGCCAAUGGAAACCCUGUGGAACAUGAUGAGGCCGCACAGUUGGUGGAUAGAGAUGAGAAGGACUUCUUUGAACAAGGGAGUGUGGAAGUGGCUUGAUUCUGCGUCAGUCUUCUCAAGCCAGCUCACACCGUGGGACAGGAGCGAGUCUACCGAUGGCGAGGACACCAGAGACUGUGCAGAGAUGGACCACAGCGGUCUGCUGAAUGAUGUCCAGUGUAACUCUUCUCUCCGCUUUGUCUGUGAGAAACCUUUAGAGAAAAAUCCAAAUCGUUGUGAUCCACUGGAACUUAACUAUUUGACGGCUGGCUGCUAUAGAAUUUCAACACUCGCCAUGUCGUGGUGGCAGGCACAGGAGACCUGCUACAAGAAGGGGGGUAACCUCUUGUCCAUCAGCUCUUUAGACGAGCAGACAGAUAUGCUAAUAUGGUUAAGACGAAAGAGCAAAAGGUGGUGGGUGGGACUGAAAAGGAUUUCUCCGGGAGUCAACGAGUGGAGCUGGCUUGAUUCAGCUGUUAAAUUCUCAAGCCUUGUCACACCGUGGGAAACGAAAGAACCCAACAACAUGAAAGGAAAAGAGGAAUGUGUAGAAAUUUCCCCCCGCGGUCAACUGAAUGACGAGUCGUGCUCCAGUACUUUACGCUUCAUUUGUGAAAAGUCUUCAGGCAGGACAGGAGAGAACGGAGCCGAGGACUGCGGUGUUGACUGGUUUCUGUUCAAUCGUCGUUGUUAUCAUUUGUCCACAAACACACAGUCGUGGUUCAAUGCCAGCAAAAUCUGCCAGGAAAAGGGAGGCAACCUGCUGUCCAUAAAUUCUUUAGAAGAACUUGAGAUAAUACGUAAGGAGAUCAGAAAGAAGAGUGAGCGCUGGUGGGUAGGGCUUAGAAAGAUUUCGCCGACAAAUUCCUCAAGUCACGACAUGACACAGUGUUGCUGUGAGGAGAUGACUCGUGGUGGCCACCUUAACUACGCGGAUUGCAGGGACUUGCGACCAUUUAGAUGUAAAAAGCAGAUAAGAGCGGAAAACACAACUAGAACUAUUGACUGUGGCAGUGGCUGGUUCUUGAUUUCUGGCGUCUGCCUCAAGCUGUCCACUAAGACAAUGUCGUGGUCUCAGUCACAGGAGAGCUGCAAAGUAGAGGGAGGUAACUUGAUGUCCACCAGCACCUUAAACAUAUUGACUGAGGUGAAGAUACUGACAAAUCUUGGAAGCUCGCAAUGGUGGAUAGGAGAGCGAACUACGUCACUGAAAUGUGUGGCCAUCAGCUCUUCCGGGUAUUUCCACGUCGAGGAUUGCAAUACUGCUCAUCCUUAUAUUUGCGAGAAAAGACAAUGUAAGUGAAAAAAAACUUCCAUUUCUCAGGUCAGUGGGUCAUUUGCGAAAUCUUCACUGAACGAAGUAAGAAAUGACGUGAGGUCCACCGAUUCAUCAUCCGUAGUGUUAAUGGCGGCAACUAACGGGAUUAGUGAUUAAUCGAGAAAUAUGCAGCUGUUUAGUGUAAUCUCGUCCAGCUGGGAUGUCCCUGUAAGACAUCAACAGGUCACCUUCUCAUCGUCAACCAAUCAUACACUGAUUAGGUGGCGUUGUACGUGUUCUUCAAGUUUACGAGUUCUGAACUGCACAAACUUGAGAAAGCUUUAUGAAAAGCUUCCUACCAUGGCUGUGAAAGUAGCAGUUUAUGAAGACAAUACUGAUUAUAUGGAUAUCCAAUGGCCCAUCAUUUUAUCUAAGACGUACAUCAGUACGUGCAACUAGUUGAACUGAAUGUUACCAGUUCUUUGACUGGUUGUGGUAAUUACAGUGUCUUACGAGAUACGAGAUAUAAUUUGUACUGAUUUACUGAUAGUAAUGGUUGUAAUGGUUUGUGCUGCCUUAUUAGUAGUAUUUACACUGAUUUGUCAUUGAACUUUCAAUUGGUCUUUAUCCAGUUUUAUUUUCUUCAGACUUCUCCAGACUCAUCAAUGACCUGUCCGCUCCAUCUCUGUGACUUCACCUUAUUCUUUAAAGAGCGAGUCUACUAUUGACGACCAAGAAACGUUCAAAAUAUCAGAAAUUUUUUUUUUAAUUUUACAAUUUGACCUACAGAGCUACUCAUUGUUAAAUUAUGUGUUUAUAUUUUCGACUUAAUGUUUUGGUAAAAUUUUACAUAAUAUUAUUGUGCUAAAGUAUGACAGAAACUAUUUACCUCCUGGACCUGUAACAUUUCUAAUACUAUUACUAAAUACUAAAAGUAACAUUUUCUUGGCCUUUUAUAUUACUUUAUUUCAUUUAACUCUGUGUGUGUAGGUAGAUGUGUGUGAGUGAGAGAGAGAUAAAGGCAAUACAACUUUAUCCUUCUAUUUGUGCACCAUUUUGCUUUUUGACAGAGAUCGUGAGAUCACGACAAAGGCGAAGGAAUCAAUUCUCGACUCCGGUAGAGAACUUUUACUUACAAAACAAAAACAAAAACAAAAAAAAAUUCUACGACAUGUAAACCUUGGUAUUAGUCAUUAUUCUUUGAUUUUAUUCUUUUAUUCGUCGAAUUACAAAUAGCCAAAAGUGACAUUUCAUGCUUUAGUUUUAGUCUUCGUUCCCAAGCAGGACUUCUUAGAACUCACGUGCGUGGCCCCUGCUGGCGUGUAUCUUGGAGACUUGGAAUGCUGGUGGACGUGUUGACCCCUGUUGUCGUUGGACAAUGUUGUGUUCAUCACCUGUCCGGAUUGUCACUAGAUCCUUAGCGAUAUCACAUUUAGUGACCUCAGACUGGACCGUCAACAUCUGUCACAUGUGAAGGAUCCUGUCGACCUAGUGGGAUCCUUGCUUCUCCGUGUGGCGGCAUCCCGAAUAUUUCAUCUCGCUGUAUGUGAACACCGCCGAGAGUUCACUCGUCAACGAUGUUUCACAACCACAGUGUUUCACCAACCUGAAGUCUUCCACAACUUCGACCCAGCAUUCAAAUCACCCGUGCCCUGCUGUAAACAGAGUUAACUUUUAUAAACUUAAUUUUGAAUGUGAUGGAUGAAUACUGUUAGAAGGAUUCCUUUUAUUACUUCUUGUCUAAAUUCUUUUUUCCAUGAAAUUAAUAAGACAUGACCUGGACAGCCAAAGACAACCGCUUUGUUUAUGUUGAAAGCGAGGUUGAUUAACCACUUGUUCUGUGACGUCAGCCUAAACACGUAGCAUCAACAUCUUUUCUAAUAUAAAUGAUUGCUGAAUAUUGUUGCAACAUAGCCAGCAGUCAGCACUUUGUAGUCAAAUAUUAAAUCUGAUUUAUUUCUUUCCGUGUGUGUGUAUAUAUAUAUAUCUGAGCUGAUAUCCGCAGAUCUAUGUAUUAGGAUGGUAAUCUUCAAGAUGGCAUAGCUGUCCUCUUUUUUGUUCACCUCAUACUAUGUUAUUAUGUUAAUAAGGUAAUUAAACUUAUUUAUUAAUUUUGUGAAAGAAACCAAUGUUACAAUUCAUUA